GAUGAAGAACGUAGCGAAAUGCGAUAAGUAGUGUGAAUUGCAGAAUUCAGUGAAUCAUCGAAUCUUUGAACGCACAUUGCGCCCGCCAGUAUUCUGGAGGGCAUGCCUGUUCGAGCGUCAUUUCAACCAUCAAGCCCCAGGCUUGUGUUGGAGCCCUGCGGCUGCCGCAGCCUCCCAAAACCAGUGGCGGGCUCGCUAUCACACCGAGUGCAGUAGUUUACUCUUCGCUCAGGGCGUGUGGCGGGUGCUAGCCGUAAAACCCCCAACUUCUCAAGGUUGACCUCGGAUCAGGUAGGAAUACCCGCUGAACUUAAGCAUAUCAAUAAGCGGAGGA
rnacentral:misc_RNA from 1 species